rnacentral:rRNA from 1 species
UACGGGGGGGGCAAGCGUUGUUCGGAAUUACUGGGCGUAAAGGGCUCGUAGGUGGUCAACUAAGUCGGACGUGAAAUCCCUCGGCUUAACCGGGGAACUGCGUCCGAUACUGGAUGACUUGAGUUCGGGAGAGGGAUGCGGAAUUCCAGGUGUAGCGGUGAAAUGCGUAGAUAUCUGGAGGAACACCUGUGGCGAAAGCGGCUCACUGGACCAUAACUGACGCUGAUGCACGAAAGCUAGGGGAGCAAACAGG